ensembl:lncRNA
CUAGCAGCAACAGGCACCCCAGCCCCCUCCUUCCUGAAGAGAGGCCAGUGUGGAGGUAGAGACGUGCUGAGGAUUGGAACCGUUCUCCCUGCAGAGCUGGGGAACGAGAGUGAGUCACCUCAUCUUGGAAGCCUCUCCUGAGACUCCAUCCCACUCAGAUUCAGACCCGGUGACCCUCUGAAUCAGUGGGAAUACUUCCAGCUCUGAGUGAAAACAGGAAUAACAGCGUUUAAUUACUUCACACAACAGAGUCUGAAGGUGAGUGUUCCCACGGUUUGCUUGGCUCCUGGUGCAAUGUGAGAGCUCUGGGUCAGGAUGUUUGUUAGCUACUCUGCCAUGUCCGCACAGUGACAAUAUGACCAUAGCCGCUCC